UACGUAGGGUGCGAGCGUUAAUCGGAAUUACUGGGCGUAAAGCGUGCGCAGGCGGUUCGCCAAGUCAGGUGUGAAAUCCCCGGGCUUAACCUGGGAAUGGCAUUGGAAACUGGCGAGCUUGAGUGCGGCAGGAGGGGGUGGAAUUCCGCGUGUAGCAGUGAAAUGCGUAGAGAUGCGGAGGAACACCGAUGGCGAAGGCAGCCCCCUGGGUCGACACUGACGCUCAGGCACGAAAGCGUGGGGAGCAAACAGG
rnacentral:rRNA from 1 species